rnacentral:rRNA from 1 species
GACGAACUUUGGCGGCGUGCUUAACACAUGCAAGUCGAACGGAAAGGCCCUGCUUUUGUGGGGUGCUCGAGUGGCGAACGGGUGAGUAACACGUGAGUAACCUGCCCUUGACUUUGGGAUAACUUCAGGAAACUGGGGCUAAUACCGGAUAGGAGCUCCUGCUGCAUGGUGGGGGUUGGAAAGUUUCGGCGGUUGGGGAUGGACUCGCGGCUUAUCAGCUUGUUGGUGGGGUAGUGGCUUACCAAGGCUUUGACGGGUAGCCGGCCUGAGAGGGUGACCGGCCACAUUGGGACUGAGAUACGGCCCAGACUCCUACGGGAGGCAGCAGUGGGGAAUAUUGCACAAUGGGCGGAAGCCUGAUGCAGCAACGCCGCGUGCGGGAUGACGGCCUUCGGGUUGUAAACCGCUUUCGCCUGUGACGAAGCGUGAGUGACGGUAAUGGGUAAAGAAGCACCGGCUAACUACGUGCCAGCAGCCGCGGUGAUACGUAGGGUGCGAGCGUUGUCCGGAUUUAUUGGGCGUAAAGGGCUCGUAGGUGGUUGAUCGCGUCGGAAGUGUAAUCUUGGGGCUUAACCCUGAGCGUGCUUUCGAUACGGGUUGACUUGAGGAAGGUAGGGGAGAAUGGAAUUCCUGGUGGAGCGGUGGAAUGCGCAGAUAUCAGGAGGAACACCAGUGGCGAAGGCGGUUCUCUGGGCCUUUCCUGACGCUGAGGAGCGAAAGCGUGGGGAGCGAACAGGCUUAGAUACUCUGGUAGUCCACGCUGUAAACGGUGGGUACUAGGUGUGGGGUCCAUUCCACGGGUUCCGUGCCGUAGCUAACGCUUUAAGUACCCCGCCUGGGGAGUACGGCCGCAAGGCUAAAACUCAAAGGAAUUGACGGGGCCCCGCACAAGCGGCGGAGCAUGCGGAUUAAUUCGAUGCAACGCGUAGAACCUUACCUGGGUUUGACAUGGAUCGGGAGUGCUCAGAGAUGGGUGUGCCUCUUUUGGGGUCGGUUCACAGGUGGUGCAUGCCUGUCGUCAGCUCGUGUCGUGAGAUGUUGGGUUAAGUCCCGCAACGAGCGCAACCCUUGUUCACUGUUGCCAGCACGUUAUGGUGGGGACUCAGUGGAGACCGCCGGGGUCAACUCGGAGGAAGGUGGGGAUGACGUCAAGUCAUCAUGCCCCUUAUGUCCAGGGCUUCACGCAUGCUACAAUGGCUGGUACAGAGAGUGGCGAGCCUGUGAGGGUGAGCGAAUCUCGGAAAGCCGGUCUCAGUUCGGAUUGGGGUCUGCAACUCGACCUCAUGAAGUCGGAGUCGCUAGUAAUCGCAGAUCAGCAACGCUGCGGUGAAUACGUUCCCGGGGCU